AUUGAACGCUGCGGCAGGCUUAACACAUGCAAGUCGAGCGCACGGCGGACGGGUGAGUAAUGAUUAGGAAGCUGCCUAUGAGUGAGGGACAACAUCGCGGGAGGGAAGCUAAUACAACAUACUAGUAGAUGCGUCUAAGGCGGAUUUGGUAGAUGGUGGGGUAAAGGCCUACCAAGGCGACGAUUGGUAGCGGGCCUGAGGCGAUGAUCCGCCAAAAUGGGACCUGGGCAAGGGCCCGAGUCCUUAGGGAGGCAGCCGUGGGGAAUAUUGGUCAAAGGGGGGAAACCUGAUCCAGCCAAGCCGGGUGUGUGAAGAAGGCCUUUUGGUUGGAAAGCACUUUAAGCGAGGGGGCGUUACUCGAAGAAUAAGCCCCGGCUAACUCUGUGCCAGCAGCCGCGGUAAUUC
rnacentral:rRNA from 1 species